UACGUAGGGUGCAAGCGUUGUCCGGAAUUAUUGGGCGUAAAGAGCUCGUAGGCGGUUUGUCGCGUCUGGUGUGAAAAUCCAGGGCUUAACCCUGGACCUGCAUCGGGUACGGGCAGACUAGAGUGCGGUAGGGGAGAUCGGAAUUCCUGGUGUAGCGGUGAAAUGCGCAGAUAUCAGGAGGAACACCGGUGGCGAAGGCGGAUCUCUGGGCCAUUACUGACGCUGAGGAGCGAAAGCGUGGGGAGCAAACAGG
rnacentral:rRNA from 1 species